rnacentral:tRNA from 1 species
AAAAUCCGUCGACUUUCAAAAUCGUGAGGGUUCAAGUCCCUCUAUCCCCAACUUGAUUUGAUUCCCAAACUAUUUUCUCUAUCCGU